GGUGCCAGCAGCCGCGGUAAUUCCAGCUCCAAUAGCGUAUAUUAAAGUUGUUGCAGUUAAAAAGCUCGUAGUUGGAUUUCUGUUAAUAAUUUAUAUAAAAUAUUUUGAUGAAUAUUUAUAUAAUAUUAACAUAAUUCAUAUUACUAUUUUUUUUUUAGUAUAUGAAAUUUUACUUUGAGAAAAUUAGAGUGCUUAAAGCAGGCAUAUGCCUUGAAUACUCCAGCAUGGAAUAAUAUUAAAGAUUUUUAUCUUUUUUAUUGGUUCUAAGAUAAGAAUAAUGAUUAAUAGGGACAGUUGGGGGCAUUUGAAUUUAACAGUCAGAGGUGAAAUUCUUAGAUUUGUUAAAGACAAACUAAUGCGAAAGCAUUUGCCAAGGAUGUUUUCAUUAAUCAAGAACGAAAGUUAGGGGAUCGAA
rnacentral:rRNA from 1 species